rnacentral:misc_RNA from 1 species
CAGAGGGCAGGGUGCUGGCUAACGGCCAGUCGAGGCGACUCGCAGGAAAGUGCCACAGAAAACAGACCGCCCGUUCCCGCAAGGGGGCGGGUAAGGGUGAAACGGUGCGGUAAGAGCGCACCGCGUCCGGGGUGACUCGGACGGCACGGUAAACCCCACCUGGAGCAAGAGCCAAUAGGAGCGCGUCCCCGAAAGGGGACAGGGAUGGCCCGUCCCAUGCGUUCGGGUUGCUCGCUGAUGAGGCCCCUGGGCAACCAGGGCCCUAGAUGAAUGUUCGCCGCCCAUCCCGAAAGGGGUGGGG